rnacentral:rRNA from 2 species
UACAGAGGUCCCAAGCGUUGUUCGGAUUCACUGGGCGUAAAGGGUGCGCAGGUGGCGCUUCAAGUUUGAUGUGAAAGCUUCGGGCUUAACCCGGAAAUGGCAUUGAAUACUGGAGUGCUGGAGGUUUGGAGGGGGGACUGGAAUUCUCGGUGUAGCAGUGAAAUGCGUAGAUAUCGAGAGGAACACCAGUGGCGAAGGCGAGUCCCUGGACAACACCUGACACUGAGGCACGAAAGCUAGGGGAGCAAACAGG